UACGGAGGGUGCAAGCGUUGUUCGGAAUCACUGGGCGUAAAGGGCGUGUAGGCGGUCCGCUAAGUCUGAUGUGAAAGCCCGGGGCUCACCCCCGGAAGGGCAUUGGAAACUGGCGAACUCGAGUCCCGGAGAGGAGGGUGGAAUUCCCGGUGUAGCGGUGAAAUGCGUAGAUAUCUGGAGGAACACCGGUGGCGAAGGCGGCAUCCUGGACCGGUAUUGACGCUGAUGCGCGAAAGCCAGGGGAGCAAACGGG
rnacentral:rRNA from 1 species